CUCUGGCGGCAGCUCUGUGAUGAAGUUUUUGGGAAUCUCGAGCACAGUAAGCUGGGUGAACAGAGCCAGGAAGUCCGGCAGCUGUCGGAUCCGUGUCCUUUGGAUGUGCCACUCCUGCAGCUGGAAGGUCAGAUUCUUCUUAUCUGCAUGGUUUUCAUCCUGCUGGACCAUCUGAUCCUGCUGCUGGACUUCUAACAGGAAAGAAAAACAUUGUUCCUCACUGUCUGACAUUAAAAAACGACACAACCUUUCCCGUUUUAUUUCUGUCACGAUUACCAAAAUUAUUUCUAGUUACUAAAUACCACAAAUAAUGAAGGAGAAUAUUUUUUUCUCAGAAGUUGCAGCUGCCCUCAUUUAGUCCAUCUCCUCCUCAUCCAUCACGGUCUGGUACGCUGCUGCCACUACCAGAGACUAAAUCAGGGCCCAUUGUUUCCUCUGACCUGCAGGAUGACUGGCUGCAGUCUGCCCCUCGAGGACCUCAAGGACUUCAGGACAUUAAGACAGAAAGGAUUGUGGCCAAUCCCACCAAAGCCUGGACGAAAACUCAAUGAGCCUCUUUUACUCUGGGCUGAGACUGUGAUCCAUAAGAACCAGAACCACUCAGUACAGAAGUAAUUUCUUCUUAACUGCUGUUCUGCAUCUAAGCAGAUCUUCAAUAACACCACAGUUACUUGUGGAGUACCACAGGGUUCAGUGCUUGGGCCAGUUCUGUGUAUAUAUGCUUUCAGUUGGUAAAAUUAUCAGGCAGGAUGGGAUAAAUGUCCACUGUUAUGCUGAUGAUACUCAGCUUUAUAUCUCCAUAAAUCCUGAUGAACCCAACCAGUUAGACUACAGACAUGCAGACUAGUCCAUUUGUUACUUUAAGGCUCAACUACUGUAAUUCUUUACUAUCAGGAAGUUAAAAAACUGCAGUAAAAAGUGAAAUGAU